CGCCCCUCCUUCGCUUCCCUCCGGUCGCCCCCCGCCGCCCUCCUUCCCUAUUUGGCCACUCCAAGCCUCCCAUCUGAUUGAACCUCCUGAGGACGGAAAAAGCAAUGGGAAAAGGGGGGGAAACUGAGGAAAAAUCAACGAAAAACAAAAGAAAGGCGUGAAAAAAAAAACAGGUAUGACCUUUUCCCACAGAUUGAUCAUUUUUUUUCCUUUUCAAUGAUUUUUCUUUUCAUUUCAUUCUCUUUUGCCGAGAUCUGUGGGGAAGGAGAGCACCUGAGGGAGAUCUGAGGUUUUUUUAGGUUCUGGUUGGGGUUUUUUCUCGAGUUGUGGCGGUGUGAAUUGGUUCCGGUCAGGGGAAGGAGAGAAGCAGAGAAUGAUCCAGCAUUUGCACAAGCUAUACUUGGUGAUGACCUUGAUAAUCUGCAGAAUGUCUUGCGAGAGCGUCAUCGGCAAAGACUAGAACUACGAUGUAAACAAGAAGAAGAACUUAGAAGGACAUUCCCUCACUCAUCCAUGAUGAAGGAAGGUUCUCUAAAUAAGCUUCUCUGGGACAAGGAUCUAUUCCAUCAUUUGUAAAUACAAUGGAUCAGCAGCAUAGUUUUUAGCUAUUUGGAAGUUAUUUCGGAGCAUCAUGCAUCGAGGAGCGAUAGAGAUGGACAAAACAUCGACGGUGGUGAUAUACAAUUAGGCACUCCAUAAUUGUUAUUAGUAUCUUUUGUUUUAUAUAUGAGAUACUUUUUUGAUGUAUGCACUUUAUAUAUGUGUAUGAUAUGCACUUUAUGUAUUUAUUAUUUAUCUUGAUAUUAUGUGUACUUAAGUGUGCUUUGACAUACUAUGCGCACUUUAUAAAGUAUGUACAUUAUUAAUUUUUUGGUGUUAUUGGAUGAAUAAUUGUUAUUA